GUGUUUAUAGUUUAAUAAAAACCUUAGAUUGUGGAUCUAACAACAGAAGUUCAAAUCUUCUUAUACACC
rnacentral:tRNA from 1 species